rnacentral:rRNA from 1 species
GAUGAACGCUAGCGGCAGGCUUAAUACAUGCAAGUCGAGGGGCAGCAGCUCUGUAGCAAUACAGAGGCUGGCGACCGGCAAACGGGUGCGGAACACGUACGCAACUUACCCAUAACUGGUGAAUAGCCCUCCGAAAGGAGGAUUAAUACAUCGUAACAUAAUGAGAUGGCAUCAUUUUAUUAUUAUAGCUCUCGGGCGGUUAUGGAUGGGCGUGCGGCUGAUUAGGUAGUUGGCGGAGUAAUAGCCCACCAAGCCAACGAUCAGUAACUGGUGUGAGAG